UACGAAGGGGGCGAGCGUUGUUCGGAAUUACUGGGCGUAAAGGGCGCGUAGGCGGCCGAUCAAGUCAGAUGUGAAAGUCCUGGGCUUAACCUGGGGACUGCAUUUGAUACUGAUUGGCUUGAAUUCGGGAGAGGAUAGCGGAAUUCCCAGUGUAGAGGUGAAAUUCGUAGAUAUUGGGAAGAACACCGGUGGCGAAGGCGGCUAUCUGGACCGACAUUGACGCUGAGGCGCGAAAGCUAGGGGAGCAAACAGG
rnacentral:rRNA from 1 species